CAAUGUGGAGAAUAUAGUGAGCUCCUGGGUAGAGGUAGUAGGUUGCAUAGUUCGAGGACUGAAAUUUUGGCCCAAAGGAGAUAACUAUACAACUUGCUGCCUUUCCUAGGGCAUCAUACUGAACAUCACAACUGG
rnacentral:precursor_RNA from 17 species